GGUGAGAUGGCUGAGAGGUAUUGGAAGUGAUUUUCACUCGCUAGGUCAGGGUUCAAAUCCCGGUCAAACUU
rnacentral:tRNA from 1 species